rnacentral:lncRNA from 1 species
GGCCUCUGGCAUACACUUUGCCCUCCUCUUUAUGACAUCACAAAGACAUCUGCUCCAUCAUAUCCUCUUUCUUCACACAACUGGCUUUCUGCUUCUCUAAAAUAGCAAACACAGAGCCAUGUAAGGGCUAGUACACAAAGGAUGGUACUCAAGCCAAAUCAUCUCUUAAGUUUUCCUUAUUGGGAGCAAUCCAGAGUUUUCAGACUCUCUGAAUUUCUGCCUUCGUCCCAAAGCCAGGAAAUGUAACUCAGCCCAAGCAAUCACACAGAGACCCUUGUAAGGCGGGCAGGUGGAGAUUCUCCAGCCCCCGGCGGCUCCGCACCGGUCCUGCACGCACCAGAGCCCUGGUAAUCGAGCAGCCAACUUUGCAAACGCGGAGGCGCCCGGCAGCCUCCGCCU